GCUGGAAUAGCUCAGCUGGUAGAGCACUCCCUUCGUAAGGGAUAGGUCGUGAGUUCGAUCCUCACUUCCAGCUCCA
rnacentral:tRNA from 1 species